rnacentral:rRNA from 1 species
UGUAGGCUGAAACUACGCCUACAUGAAGCUGGAGUUGCUAGUAAUCGCGAAUCAGCAUGUCGCGGUGAAUACGUUCCCGGGCCUUGUACACACCGCCCGUCACACCAUGAGAGUUGGCAAUACCCAACGUACGUGAUCUAACCCGCAAGGGAGGAAGCGUCCUAAGGUAGGGUCAGCGAUUGGGGUGAAGUCGUAACAAGGUAUC